CUCUUUUUUCUCUCAACGCGUGUCAAAUAACCUUUUGGUAUCCAGCUAUGCAAUUGCAGUUGAAACCGCUGUGUAAGCACAAGGAAAAAGAGAGGGAGCUCAGUUUCCUGAAGAUUUCCGAUUUUUCAUUAUAAAUAAAAACAGCUUUUACUAUACGUUAAUUUCCUCCAUCUCAUUCGACUGCUCUUCUUUUGGUGGCAAGUGGAGCAGAAAAAGAUUGUGUAAAAACUUGGAAUUCAGUCGAAAUGGCUAUGGCAGUUCGAAAUACAACAAAUCCUGAAGAACUGCAGAUAGCAGUCAUUCAUGAAAUUGCUUCACUUCAAGGCAGAAGUCCUUCAUGUGAUCUAGUUAACAACACAAGUACUUUCUCAUCCUUUGUUGUUGCAUUUGCACAAUCAUUUACACAUAUAUGCAAAGCAGACAAAUUAAGUCAUAUUUAUAAAUUUUCUCACUUGCAUACUAGAGAUAUUUACUUACUUGAAAUUAAAACUCGCUCGCGUUGAUACAUGGUUAACUAAAUAUAUAAACACCAACCAAUUAUUGA